GCGGCUCGAGUCUGCCUUACGGGUAGAUCUCCCACCCUAUGUUAUUAUUACCUUUGUUGCUUUGGCGGGCCGUCAGGCCUCGGUCAGGCUAUCGGCUCCGGCUGGUAAGCGCCCGCCAGAAGACCCAAAAACUCUGAAUAUUCUGUGUCGUCUGAGUACUAUAUAAUAGUUAAAACUUUCAACAACGGAUCUCUUGGUUCUGGCAUCGAUGAAGAACGCAGCGAAAUGCGAUAAGUAAUGUGAAUUGCAGAAUUCAGUGAAUCAUCGAAUCUUUGAACGCACAUUGCGCCCCUUGGUAUUCCGAGGGGCAUGCCUGUUCGAGCGUCAUUACAACCCUCAAGCAUUGCUUGGUAUUGGGCUCCGCUGCUCAUCCAGCGGGCCUUAAAAUCAGUGGCGGUGCCGUCGAGGCCCUGAGCGUAGUAAAUAUCCUCGCUAUAGGGACUCGGUGGACGCUGGCCAUCAACCCCCAACUUUCUAAGUUUGACCUCGGAUCAGGUAGGGAUACCCGCUGAACUUAAGCAUAUCAAAA
rnacentral:rRNA from 1 species